rnacentral:rRNA from 1 species
CCUACGGGAGGCAGCAGUGAGGAAUAUUGGACAAUGGAGGCAACUCUGAUCCAGCCAUGCCGCGUGCAGGAAGACUGCCCUAUGGGUUGUAAACUGCUUUUAUACAGGAAGAACCGGUGCUACGUGUAGCGCUCUGACGGUACUGUAAGAAUAAGGAUCGGCUAACUCCGUGCCAGCAGCCGCGGUAAUACGGAGGAUCCAAGCGUUAUCCGGAAUCAUUGGGUUUAAAGGGUCCGUAGGUGGUCAAUUAAGUCAGAGGUGAAAGCCUAUCGCUCAACGAUAGAACUGCCUUUGAUACUGAUUGACUUGAGUUAUUGUGAAGUAGUUAGAAUAUGUAGUGUAGCGGUGAAAUGCAUAGAUAUUACAUAGAAUACCGAUUGCGAAGGCAGAUUACUAACAAUACACUGACACUGAGGGACGAAAGCGUGGGUAGCGAACAGGAUUAGAUACCCUGGUAGUCCACGCCGUAAACGAUGGUCACUAGCUGUUUGACUAACAUUGGUUAGUUGAGUGGCUAAGCGAAAGUGAUAAGUGACCCACCUGGGGAGUACGCUCGCAAGAGUGAAACUCAAAGGAAUUGACGG